rnacentral:rRNA from 1 species
GAUGAACGCUGGCGGCGUGCUUAACACAUGCAAGUCGAACGAAGCAUUUGCGACAGAUUUUUUCGGAAUGAAGUUGCUUAUGACUGAGUGGCGGACGGGUGAGUAACGCGUGGGUAACCUGCCUUGUACUGGGGGAUAGCAGCUGGAAACGGCUGGUAAUACCGCAUAAGCGCACAAUGUUGCAUGACAUGGUGUGAAAAACUCCGGUGGUAUAAGAUGGACCCGCGUCUGAUUAGCUAGUUGGUGAGAUAACAGCCCACCAAGGCGACGAUCAGUAGCCGACCUGAGAGGGUGACCGGCCACAUUGGGACUGAGACACGGCCCAGACUCCUACGGGAGGCAGCAGUGGGGAAUAUUGCACAAUGGAGGAAACUCUGAUGCAGCGACGCCGCGUGAGUGAAGAAGUAAUUCGUGAUGUAAAGCUCUAUCAGCAGGGAAGAUAGUGACGGUACCUGACGAAGAAGCUCCGGCUAAAUACGUG